rnacentral:rRNA from 1 species
AUUGAACGCUGGCGGCAUGCCUUACACAUGCAAGUCGAACGGCAGCACGGGAGCAAUCCUGGUGGCGAGUGGCGAACGGGUGAGUAAUGUAUCGGAACGUACCUUUCAGUGGGGGAUAACGUAGCGAAAGUUACGCUAAUACCGCAUAUUCUGUCCGAGCAGGAAAGCAGGGGAUCGCAAGACCUUGCGCUGAUUGAGCGGCCGAUAUCAGAUUAGCUAGUUGGUGAGGUAAAGGCUCACCAAGGCGACGAUCUGUAGCGGGUCUGAGAGGAUGAUCCGCCACACUGGGACUGAGACACGGCCCAGACUCCUACGGGAGGCAGCAGUGGGGAAUUUUGGACAAUGGGGGAAACCCUGAUCCAGCCAUGCCGCGUGCAGGAUGAAGGCC